UUGUACAAUACCUGUACUAUUUGGGGUCCCGAUGGAACUUUGAUAGCAAAACACCGAAAGGUACAUCUAUUCGACAUCGACAUUCCUAAUAAGAUUACUUUUCGAGAGAGUGAUUCACUCAGUCCUGGUAACUCCCUAACGACGUUCGAUGUGAAGGGCUGCAAAAUAGGUAUUGGCAUUUGCUAUGAUAUUAGAUUCGAGGAAAUGGCACGCAUUUAUCGGAACAAAGGUACAGUAACUUAAUCGAUCAAUACUUAACUAGCAAAAAAUUAAAUAUCUUUCUUAAAUAUAUUCUAUAUAAAAUUAAUAUAAUCUGUAACUCUGUAUAAAAAGAAGCUUAAUUUAAAAAACCAGUAUAUUUGCUGAAAAUGAAACAAAUAAAAGAAUUAAAAGCACAAUAAGAGGACUGUCCUCGCAUAUUCAGAAAUGAUGGAAUGUGAAUCGUGCAACUACGAAGUUAAUUGGUAUUCGGUGGCUUCAUAUUUCCUGCUUCUCUGGGUUAGGUUGCCAAAUGCUGAUAUAUCCAGCGGCAUUCAAUAUGACCACUGGACCACUGCACUGGUCAUUACUUCAGCGUUUCAGAGCGAAUGAUAAUCAAUUAUACGUUGCCUGCAUAUCACCGGCUCGUGUUCCUUAAGCAAGUUACGUCGCAUGGGGACAUACACAGUUGACCAAUCCCUGGGGAAAGAUUCUUUACGAUUUGGAAACUCAAGAGAAUAUGGCAGUCACCGAUAUCGAUCUAAAAGUUGUUGAGGAAGUAAGGGCUCAGAUACCUACAUUUUCUCAGAGACGUACAGAUUUGUACGACACUGUCUGUAAGAAGGAGUAACUCUACACUAAAACAGAAAAUGUUUUUUUAUAAUAUUUCUACUACGAUAUCCUUUUUUUGUGAAUUAUUACUAAUUUCUUAUCAUUUGUACUAAAUGAAUGACUCAAUUAAGAAAACCAAAACGUUAUAAAUAAUAAUCUGUAUAUCUUGUGUAUCAACAUGUAAUUGGAUAUUAUAAUAAUAUAGGAUAAUAAUAUAGGAGAAUAAUAAUAUAGAAAAUAAUACAUGCUUUUAAACACCUUUAAUAUCGAUCACAUAAAUUGUAAUAAUUCACAAUGAUCA